AUACAACCUACUGCAACUACUACUCCUAGUAGUUCUGAUCCUUCCGAUUCUUCAGAUCCUUCUGUUGUUGGUUCAUCCUCUAGCAAAAAGAGGACACGUGGCCCAACGCGUAACUUAGAUUUACUUAGUAUGAAACCCGG